UACAGAGGUCUCAAGCGUUGUUCGGAUUCAUUGGGCGUAAAGGGUGCGUAGGUGGUGGGGUAAGUCGGAUGUGAAAUCCCGGGGCUCAACCCCGGAACUGCAUUCGAUACUGCCUUGCUUGAGGACUGGAGAGGAGACUGGAAUUUACGGUGUAGCGGUGAAAUGCGUAGAUAUCGUAAGGAAGACCAGUGGCGAAGGCGGGUCUCUGGACAGUUCCUGACGCUGAGGCACGAAGGUCAGGGGAGCAAACGGG
rnacentral:rRNA from 1 species